rnacentral:rRNA from 1 species
UACGAAGGGGGCUAGCGUUGCUCGGAAUUACUGGGCGUAAAGGGCGCGUAGGCGGACAGUUUAGUCAGAGGUGAAAGCCCAGGGCUCAACCUUGGAAUAGCCUUUGAUACUGGCUGUCUUGAGUUCGGGAGAGGUGAGUGGAAUGCCGAGUGUAGAGGUGAAAUUCGUAGAUAUUCGCAAGAACACCAGUGGCGAAGGCGGCUCACUGGCCCGAUACUGACGCUGAGGCACGAAAGCGUGGGGAGCAAACAGG